rnacentral:rRNA from 1 species
UGUAAGCGUAUACCAAAGUUGUUGCAGUUAAAACGCCCGUAGUCGGAAUUUGGCAGUUCCGGAUGUGUGCACGUCGUGUGCGCACUUCGCGGGGAUUGCUUUUGUGGUCUUGCGUAGGAUGAGGCACUUUUAUUAGUGAACGUCCUCACGCAACCACUUUUUACUGUGAGAAAAUCAGAGUGCUCAAAGCAGGCAUUUGCCGUGAAUGUAUUAGCAUGGAAUAAUAGAAUAGGACUCGGUUCUAUUUUGUUGGUUUGUUGGGACUGAGUAAUGAUUAAGAGGGACAGUUGGGGGCAUUUGUAUUUCGGCGCUAGAGGUGAAAUUCUUAGAUUGCCGAAAGACAAACUGCUGCGAAAGCGUCUGCCAAGGAUGUUUUCAUUGA